AUGAACUUCUAUAAAAGGGAAGCUGGAAGGUUGGUGGCCAAGUGUUAAUUUCCUGUGUGACCAGGUGUGUGUUGGGCCCACGCUGUUUGCUGGCUGUGGCAGGUUUGGAGGGAAACCGUUUUAAAUCGAUCCUCUUAAAUACGUCUGUGCUGACGUGGUAUUUUUAUACAGGGCCGCAUUGUUAAUGACGUUCCGGUGGUAGCGUUACCUGACAGUGUGGCUGUUCGACGCUGCAGGGCUGCACCAGAUCUGUUACAUCAAGUUUGACUUUAGAGUGCUGCUUUAUGCUACAGAAAUGCUGGACUGCUGUGAUGGAGAGAAAAAAACAAAUUUUUCCCAAGACGAAAGUGACAACUGAAAAGAGACUGAGGGAGUGU